AUUGAACGCUGGCGGCAUGCCUUACACAUGCAAGUCGAACGGCAGCACGGGAGCAAUCCUGGUGGCGAGUGGCGAACGGGUGAGUAAUAUAUCGGAACGUGCCCAGUCGUGGGGAUAACGUAGCGAAAGCUACGCUAAUACCGCAUACGAUCUAUGGAUGAAAGUGGGGGAUCGCAAGACCUCGCGCGAUUGGAGCGGCCGAUAUCAGAUUAGGUAGUUGGUGAGGUAAAGGCUCACCAAGCCGACGAUCUGUAGCUGGUCUGAGAGGACGACCAGCCACACUGGGACUGAGACACGGCCCAGACUCCUACGGGAGGCAGCAGUGGGGAAUUUUGGACAAUGGGCGCAAGCCUGAUCCAGCAAUGCCGCGUGCAGGAUGAAGGCCU
rnacentral:rRNA from 1 species